AGCAUUUGCUGUACCGCGUUGACGGAGCGAAGCGACGUCAAACCGAUAAAACAGCAGUGUAAAGUGAGCCGCAGGGCGCUUUGCGCGACAGCGCAAAGGCAGGCGGUUUCGCGUAGCGAAAGCGAAUGCUUUGGGGUGGGGUGACUGCGUACCUUUUGUAUAAUGGGUCAGCGACUUAUAUUCUGUAGCAAGGUUAACCGAAUAGGGGAGCCGGAGGGAAACCGAGUCUUAAUUGGGCGUUAAGUUGCAGGGUAUAGACCCGAAACCCGGUGAUCUAGCCAUGGGCAGGUUGAAGGUUGGGUAACACUAACUGGAGGACCGAACCGACUAAUGUUGAAAAAUUAGCGGAUGACCUGUGGCUGGGGGUGAAAGGCCAAUCAAACCGGGAGAUAGCUGGUUCUCCCCGAAAGCUAUUUAGGUAGCGCCUCGUGAAUUCAUCUCCGGGGGUAGAGCACUGUUUCGGCUAGGGGGCCAUCCCGGCUUACCAACCCGAUGCAAACUGCGAAUACCGGAGAAUGUUAUCACGGGAGACACACGGCGGGUGCUAACGUCCGUCGUGAAGAGGGAAACAACCCAGACCGCCAGCUAAGGUCCCAAAGUCAUGGUUAAGUGGGAAACGAUGUGGGAAGGCCCAGACAGCCAGGAUGUUGGCUUAGAAGCAGCCAUCAUUUAAAGAAAGCGUAAUAGCUCACUGGUCGAGUCGGCCUGCGCGGAAGAUGUAACGGGGCUAAACCAUGCACCGAAGCUGCGGCAGCGACACUGUGUGUUGUUGGGUAGGGGAGCGUUCUGUAAGCCUGUGAAGGUGUGUCGUGAGGCAUGCUGGAGGUAUCAGAAGUGCGAAUGCUGACAUAAGUAACGAUAAAGCGGGUGAAAAGCCCGCUCGCCGGAAGACCAAGGGUUCCUGUCCAACGUUAAUCGGGGCAGGGUGAGUCGACCCCUAAGGCGAGGCCGAAAGGCGUAGUCGAUGGGAAACGGGUUAAUAUUCCCGUACUUGGUGUUACUGCGAAGGGGGGACGGAGAAGGCUAUGUUGGCCGGGCGACGGUUGUCCCGGUUUAAGCGUGUAGGUGUGUGUUCCAGGUAAAUCCGGUUCACUUUAACACUGAGGCGUGACGACGAGGCACUACGGUGCUGAAGCAACAAAUGCCCUGCUUCCAGGAAAAGCCUCUAAGCAUCAGGUAACAUCAAAUCGUACCCCAAACCGACACAGGUGGUCAGGUAGAGAAUACCAAGGCGCUUGAGAGAACUCGGGUGAAGGAACUAGGCAAAAUGGUGCCGUAACUUCGGGAGAAGGCACGCUGACACGUAGGUGAAGUGAUUUACUCAUGGAGCUGAAGUCAGUCGAAGAUACCAGCUGGCUGCAACUGUUUAUUAAAAACACAGCACUGUGCAAACACGAAAGUGGACGUAUACGGUGUGACGCCUGCCCGGUGCCGGAAGGUUAAUUGAUGGGGUCAGCGCAAGCGAAGCUCCUGAUCGAAGCCCCGGUAAACGGCGGCCGUAACUAUAACGGUCCUAAGGUAGCGAAAUUCCUUGUCGGGUAAGUUCCGACCUGCACGAAUGGCGUAAUGAUGGCCAGGCUGUCUCCACCCGAGACUCAGUGAAAUUGAACUCGCUGUGAAGAUGCAGUGUACCCGCGGCAAGACGGAAAGACCCCGUGAACCUUUACUAUAGCUUGACACUGAACAUUGAGCCUUGAUGUGUAGGAUAGGUGGGAGGCUUUGAAGUGUGGACGCCAGUCUGCAUGGAGCCGACCUUGAAAUACCACCCUUUAAUGUUUGAUGUUCUAACGUGGACCCGUUACCCGGGUUGCGGACAGUGUCUGGUGGGUAGUUUGACUGGGGCGGUCUCCUCC
rnacentral:rRNA from 1 species